rnacentral:rRNA from 1 species
CCUACGGGUGGCUGCAGUGGGGAAUUUUCGACAAUGGGCGCAAGCCUGAACCAGCCAUGCCGCGUGAACGAAGAAGGCCUUCGGGUCGUAAAGUUCUUUUUAAGGGGAAAAAGAGCGUAGAGUGUAUACGGUUUCCUAUUGAUGUUACCCGUAGAGGAAGUCACGGCUAACUCCGUGCCAGCAGCCGCGGUAAUACGUAGGUGGCAAGCGUUAUUCGGAAUGAUUGGGCGUAAAGGGCGCGUAGGCGGUCUGGUAAGUCUGAAGGGAAAGGGUGCGGCUCAACCCAGUAAAUGCAUCUGAAACUGGCAGGCUAGAGAGCAGGAGAGGGGGGUGGAAUUCGAGGUGUAGCGGUGAAAUGCGUAGAUAUCUGGAAGAACACCAGUGGCGAAGGCGGCCGCCUGGCCUGUGACUGACGCUGAGGCACGAAAGCGUGGGGAGCAAACAGGAUUAGAUACCCUUGUAGUC